rnacentral:rRNA from 1 species
AGUCGAGCGGGGGAAGGUAGCUUGCUACUGGACCUAGCGGCGGACGGGUGAGUAAUGCUUAGGAAUCUGCCUAUUAGUGGGGGACAACAUCUCGAAAGGGAUGCUAAUACCGCAUACGUCCUACGGGAGAAAGCAGGGGAUCUUCGGACCUUGCGCUAAUAGAUGAGCCUAAGUCGGAUUAGCUAGUUGGUGGGGUAAAGGCCUACCAAGGCGACGAUCUGUAGCGGGUCUGAGAGGAUGAUCCGCCACACUGGGACUGAGACACGGCCCAGACUCCUACGGGAGGCAGCAGUGGGGAAUAUUGGACAAUGGGGGGAACCCUGAUCCAGCCAUGCCGCGUGUGUGAAGAAGGCCUUAUGGUUGUAAAGCACUUUAAGCGAGGAGGAGGCUACUUUAGUUAAUACCUAGAGAUAGUGGACGUUACUCGCAGAAUAAGCACCGGCUAACUCUGUGCCAGCAGCCGCGGUAAUACAGAGGGUGCGAGCGUUAAUCGGAUUUACUGGGCGUAAAGCGUGCGUAGGCGGCUUAUUAAGUCGGAUGUGAAAUCCCCGAGCUUAACUUGGGAAUUGCAUUCGAUACUGGUGAGCUAGAGUAUGGGAGAGGAUGGUAGAAUUCCAGGUGUAGCGGUGAAAUGCGUAGAGAUCUGGAGGAAUACCGAUGGCGAAGGCAGCCAUCUGGCCUAAUACUGACGCUGACGUACGAAAGCAUGGGGAGCAAACAGGAUUAGAUACCCUGGUAGUCCAUGCCG